CUACGGGCGGCAGCAGUGGGGAAUAUUGCACAAUGGGCGCAAGCCUGAUGCGGCCAUGCCGCGUGUAUGAAGAAGGCCUUCGGGUUGUAAAGUACUUUCAGCGGGGAGGAAGGGAGUAGAGUUAAUACCUUUGCUCAUUGACGUUACCCGCAGAAGAAGCACCGGCUAACUCCGUGCCAGCAGCCGCGGUAAUACGGAGGGUGCAAGCGUUAAUCGGAAUUACUGGGCGUAAAGCGCACGCAGGCGGUUUGUUAAGUCAGAUGUGAAAUCCCCGGGCUCAACCUGGGAACUGCAUCUGAUACUGGCAAGCUUGAGUCUCGUAGAGGGGGGUAGAAUUCCAGGUGUAGCGGUGAAAUGCGUAGAGAUCUGGAGGAAUACCGGUGGCGAAGGCGGCCCCCUGGACGAAGACUGACGCUCAGGUGCGAAAGCGUGGGGAGCAAACAGGAUUAGAUACCCUUGUAGUC
rnacentral:rRNA from 1 species